rnacentral:rRNA from 1 species
UACGUAGGGGGCUAGCGUUGUCCGGAAUCAUUGGGCGUAAAGCGCGCGUAGGCGGCCCGGUAAGUCCGUUGUAAAAGUCAAAGGCUCAACCUUUGAAAGCCGAUGGAUACUGCCGGGCUAGAGUCCGGAAGAGGCGAGUGGAAUUCCUGGUGUAGCGGUGGAAUGCGCAGAUAUCAGGAGGAACACCGAUAGCGAAGGCAGCUCGCUGGACGGCACUG